UACGGAGGGUGCGAGCGUUGCUCGGAAUCACUGGGCGUAAAGCGCACGUAGGCGGACUCUUAAGUCAGGGGUGAAAUCCUGGAGCUCAACUCCAGAACUGCCUUUGAUACUGGGAAUCUCGAGUCCGGGAGAGGUGAGUGGAACUGCGAGUGUAGAGGUGAAAUUCGUAGAUAUUCGCAAGAACACCAGUGGCGAAGGCGGCUCACUGGCCCGGUACUGACGCUGAGGAGCGAAAGCGUGGGUAGCAAACAGGA
rnacentral:rRNA from 1 species